ensembl:misc_RNA Metazoa_SRP Metazoan signal recognition particle RNA
GCCAGGUGUGGUGGCAUGCGCCUGUAGUCCCAGCUACUCAGGAGGCUGAGGUGGGAGGAUCGCUUGAGCCCAGGAGGUUGAGGCUGCAGUGAGCCAUGAUUGUGCCACUGCACUCCAGCCUGGGCUACAGAGGGAGACCCUGUCUCAA